rnacentral:rRNA from 1 species
ACGAAGGCAGCAGUGGGGAAUAUUGGACAAUGGGGGAAACCCUGAUCCAGCGACGCCGCGUGAGUGAAGAAGUAUUUCGGUAUGUAAAGCUCUAUCAGCAAGAAAGAAAAUGACGGUACUUGACUAAGAAGCCCCGGCUAACUACGUGCCAGCAGCCGCGGUAAUACGUAGGGGGCAAGCGUUAUCCGGAUUUACUGGGUGUAAAGGGAGCGUAGACGGCGAUGCAAGUCUGAAGUGAAAGCCCGGGGCUCAACCCCGGAACUGCUUUGGAAACUGUAUAGCUAGAGUGCAGGAGAGGUAUGUGGAAUUCCUAGUGUAGCGGUGAAAUGCGUAGAUAUUAGGAGGAACACCAGUGGCGAAGGCGACAUACUGGACUGUAACUGACGUUGAGGCUCGAAGGCGUGGGGAGCAAACAGGAUUAGAUACCCUGGUA